rnacentral:rRNA from 1 species
AUUGAACGCUGGCGGCAGGCUUAACACAUGCAAGUCGAGCGAGCGGCGGACGGGUGAGUAAUGUCUGGGAAACUGCCUGAUGGAGGGGGAUAACUACUGGAAACGGUAGCUAAUACCGCAUACCAUCAGAUGUGCCCAGAUGGGAUUGGCUAGUAGGUCGUGUAAUGGCUCACCUAGGCGACGAUCCCUAGCUGGUCUGAGAGGAUGACCAGCAACACUGGAACUGAGACACGGUCCAGACUCAUACGGGAGGCAGAAGUGGGGAAUAUUGCACAAGGGGCGCAAGCCUGAUGCAGCCAUGCCGCGUGUGUGAAGAAGGCCUUCGGGUUGUAAAGCACUUUCAGCGAGGAGGCGUGACUCGAAGAAGAAGCACCGGCUAACUCCGUGCCAGCAGCCGCGGUAAUAG